UCGAAAGUUUAUUUAUUUAUUUAUUUUUAAUUAGAGAUAUGUUGUGAUUACAUGACACACCCCGACCUAAAAUCAAGGCAUGUUGGCCGUCAUGUGAGAGUGACGUAGCCAUGUGCACAGUGCAUAAUCAAUAAGGAUAUGAAAUAUACGAAUAAAUAAGAACCGAAAGCUAAUUAAUGUGCACUAAUAAGCAGGAAGUGCUAGGAAUGAGAUACAAGUGUAAAUACACCUAAUCAGAGCAUAGAAGUCUAGGUGCAGACCAGUAGGACAAGUACUAGUUAUACAGUACCAGAAGAAGUCCUACGAAUAUUAUACUUUGUCAUAACUGCCAAUAUCCACAAAUGCCACCAUCAGUAAGUCUACCUAAAACCUGGAGGGGCGCAAAACAGAAAGUGUGAGUAGGUAAAAACAAAACUUUUCAAAAUCAUUUCAUUUACCAAAUGCAAAGUGUGUGAAAAUUUUUUAUUUUUGUUUUUUGAAAUAGAAGGAGAGAGGAAGAGAGUGAUAAAGAAUGUGGGAGUGUGAAGUUUUUAUUUUUUAUUUUUAAUUAGAGAUAUGUUAUGAUUACAUGUAAGUGAGGUUUUGAAGAGAAAAAAAAUAGCAAAAUUUGGUUGUGUGAAAUUACAUUUUUGCCUCAUAUUUCUUAUUCAUGUUCUGUUUUAAUUAGAGGGUUAAAUUGGUAAUUUUGGUUGACAAUAAAUGUUUUAUUAAUUGGUAAAGAUUAUGUGUCACUAAUAAGAAACAAAAGAGUUAAUCGACAUUUAAUUUAUAAUUCAGUCAUCUACAUAUACUUGAUGCAUAUGAUUAAAUGGUCUCUAAUUUUAUUGAUUUUCUGCCUAAAAUGAUAUUUAAAUAAUAACCAAGCCAAUGAUUAAUGUCAACUAUUAGUAGGCCAAAACAGGUUAAUCAGAACUAGAUUAUAAUACGGUGUGCGCGAAAUAGGAGAUGAAUUUUUAUGUAAUGAAUUAUUGUUAUUGUAGUGUCUUAAGCCAAUAAUAUAAAGUCAUAUGAAGCUAAUUGCCUAAAACAUUGUCAUGAUAAGACACCUAUUUCAUUAAUUUUUUUUUUGUAUAUGUUGGAGAAUAGAAUUCUACAUCGGUCAUAUGACAAAAUAAUAUACAAUUAAUAUUUUAGAAUUUCUACCCGUAAUAUCAUUGAAACCUUUUGUAAUAAACCCAACGCUUGAUAAUAAAUCAAGUUAGAAUAAUAUUGGUGAUGGAGAAAUGUUAGAGCAGUUAUACCAUGGCCUAUUGCCCGAUGGACUGGCUCUCAAACAGGACCAAAGGGCCCGAGUGGGGAGGUCCAACUUGUGCUAGUGAUGGAGCCCGAGUGGGCUCGAGGGAGAGGCCCGGCAGGAGUUGCCAGCCCGAGAGCCCGAAGGUUACGUGACGCAAGGCUGACGUCUGGGCGACGUUAGCCAUCAUCUCCUCUGCAUUUCUGCAUUUCUGGCCUCCAUAUACUCCCGCAGACCCGGCUUUCCCUUUCACUCUCACUUCACACAACGCUGUCCUCAUCGCAUAAAUCUCGAGCGUCGGGAAUAAUCUCAAUUCGAUUGACACCAAGAUCUUUAUCCCCUCGAUUAACCCGUUCGCUCGAAUUUCAAGAACCCAAUUUCUGCAUCAUCAGCAUAAGCAGAGAUGGUGGGCCAGUGUGAGAAGAAGGUGGAGAAGUUUCAGACGGAGGAGGAAGUGGCGGUGCGUCUGGCGAAGUUUCAAAAGGAAGUGGAAGGUGGAGAAGUUUCAGACAAAGGAAGAAGUGGAGAAGUUUCCAAAGGAAAAGAUAAAUUAAUAAUAUAAUAUUAAUUUGUACAAAGUAAAUAAUAUAAUAUUAAUUAUAAAUUAAAACAUAAUAAUAUUUUAUUAACUAUUACCAGGGCUAUUCAAUGUAUCGGUGGAGAUGCAAAAGAUAAUUAUUGUUUAUUAAUGGCAGUUACUGUUCACUAGGUGGAUUAAAUAGUGAAUAGCCUGGGAUAACCUUUGCAACGGUGGAGUUUCUCUUGAGGGAAGUCUCUUAAAAGUUGGACUUUUAUAAACUAUCUGUCCCCUCACAUUAACGUCAAUUCCCUUAGCAAUAUUAUAAAAUAUUGUGUCACAAAUAUUCUUAACUUUCAUAAUUUUCUUUGUUUUUUAACACUCCAGCGUCUAAAUCUAUGUAUUGAUUAGGGGGAAUAGAGUGUUUGUAUCGUUUGGAAGCUAAUUUUUGUAGCAUCUUGGGGGCCCCACCAUCGUGUUUGGCCUUUUGUGCGUUAGGUCAACAUCAUCGAGGAACAGCGUUGGCUUCUUCUGUCAAUCUCGUCAAUCCCACUAAGUUAGAGAGAGAGAGAGAGAGAGAGAGAGAGAGAGAGAGAGAGAGGUGAAUUAUUAUUUCAAUUUUUGUUGAUAAUUCCAAUGGAUUUAGAUUUUUAUUAUUCGGAAUUCGACAUAUUUAAAUUGUAUUAACGAAAUUAUGUCGUCAAAGUCUUAAGAUAAUUGAUUGAAUCUCGAUGAAUGGAGUUCAUGAUUUUGAGUCUUACUCUUCAUUAUAUAUAAAUCAACACAUUAAUCAUCUUCAUUAACGGUGAAUUAUUCUAUCAAUUUGCCUAACGAGCACAUCUCAAAUUUGAGUAACAUUUGCUAAAAGUUGAGAACAAUAUAUAAUUGUGAGGUUUUAUAUUUUAUAUAACUUAUCUCAUCAUCACUUUUUAAAAAAGAAGACCAGCUGGUGACUUCAUCAAGACACUCCAAUAUUUUGAGGGGCAAUAAGACUCGUAUAGGCAUUUCAGCCUCUCUCUAGCAAUCAUUGUGUGAUUCAUCAGCUCAAAAAUCGAACCUAUGACGCGUUAUGUGCAAUACGAACCUGAAAUUCAUUGCUAACUACCAAUACGUAACUUUGUUGUAAGUGUACUUAUUAUGAUGGUACGUAACUUGUUGUAAGUGUGUUAUCUCGAUAUAAAAAUGUUAUGCAAGUAUUUUGACAUAUAUUAAUCAACUUCUUGUGUGGCAUGCCUCUAUUUGUGUUAAUUAGAUGUUAAUCAUGGGCCGGGUUCAAUUUGAAUUUCGAACUCCACAAACCUAGCUCAUACUAAAUUUAAAGGAAAACUAAUGAAAAUUACUUGAAAACUUUGAAUUUUAAUGAUAAGGACAAAAUAAAGGGUAAAGUGAAUAGUAUCAGGUUUGACUUUUUAGUGUAAAAAUGUGGUUUUUCGUUAAAGUGAAUAGUACCGUAGACUUUUCGUUAAAACUCUCUAAAUUUAAUUGAAUUUUUAUCCUAAAUAGGAAUAGUUACCCGUUCCUUGUAGGUAGAGGAACAAAGAGAAAGACCUAUUGAAUGUUUUUAUUUAAUUUUUGGUCAAUCUACACGAGAGCAUGUUUGAGUCAAUG
rnacentral:lncRNA from 1 species